rnacentral:rRNA from 1 species
GACGAACGCUGGCGGCGUGCUUAACACAUGCAAGUCGAACGAUGAACCUCCUUCGGGAGGGGAUUAGUGGCGAACGGGUGAGUAACACGUGGGCAAUCUGCCCUUCACUCUGGGACAAGCCCUGGAAACGGGGUCUAAUACCGGAUAAUACUCCUGCCUGCAUGGGCGGGAGUUGAAAGCUCCGGCGGUGAAGGAUGAGCCCGCGGCCUAUCAGCUUGUUGGUGGGGUAAUGGCCCACCAAGGCGACGACGGGUAGCCGGCCUGAGAGGGCGACCGG